AGAGUUUGAUCAUGGCUCAGGACGAACGCUGGCGGCGUGCCUAAUACAUGCAAGUCGAACGAAACUUUCUUACACCGAAUGCUUGCAUUCACCGUAAGAAGUUGAGUGGCGGACGGGUGAGUAACACGUGGGUAACCUGCCUAAAAGAAGGGGAUAACACUUGGAAACAGGUGCUAAUACCGUAUAUCUCUAAGGAUCGCAUGAUCCUUAGAUGAAAGAUGGUUCUGCUAUCGCUUUUAGAUGGACCCGCGGCGUAUUAACUAGUUGGUGGGGUAACGGCCUACCAAGGUGAUGAUACGUAGCCGAACUGAGAGGUUGAUCGGGCCCACAUUGGGACUGAGACACGGCCCAAACUCCUACGGGAGGCAGCAGUAGGGAAUCUUCCACAAUGGACGCAAGUCUGAUGGAGCAACGCCGCGUGAGUGAAGAAGGUCUUCGGAUCGUAAAACUCUAUUGUUAGAGAAGAACACGAGUGAGAGUAACUGUUCAUUCGAUGACGGUAUCUAACCAGCAAGUCACGGCUAACUACGUGCCAGCAGCCGCGGUAAUACGUAGGUGGCAAGCGUUGUCCGGAUUUAUUGGGCGUAAAGGGAACGCAGGCGGUCUUUUAAGUCUGAUGUGAAAGCCUUCGGCUUAACCGGAGUAGUGCAUUGGAAACUGGAAGACUUGAGUGCAGAAGAGGAGAGUGGAACUCCAUGUGUAGCGGUGAAAUGCGUAGAUAUAUGGAAGAACACCAGUGGCGAAAGCGGCUCUCUGGUCUGUAACUGACGCUGAGGUUCGAAAGCGUGGGUAGCAAACAGGAUUAGAUACCCUGGUAGUCCACGCCGUAAACGAUGAAUGCUAGGUGUUGGAGGGUUUCCGCCCUUCAGUGCCGCAGCUAACGCAAUAAGCAUUCCGCCUGGGGAGUACGACCGCAAGGUUGAAACUCAAAGGAAUUGACGGGGGCCCGCACAAG
rnacentral:rRNA from 2 species